GACGAACGCUGGCGGCGUGCUUAACACAUGCAAGUCGAACGGAAAGGCCCUGCUUUUGUGGGGUGCUCGAGUGGCGAACGGGUGAGUAACACGUGAGUAACCUGCCCUUGACUUUGGGAUAACUUCAGGAAACUGGGGCUAAUACCGGAUAGGAGCUCCUGCUGCAUGGUGGGGGUUGGAAAGUUUCGGCGGUUGGGGAUGGACUCGCGGCGUAUCAGCUUGUUGGUGUGGUAGUGUCUUACCAAGGCUUUGACGGGUAGCCGGCCUGAGAGGGUGACCGGCCACAUUGGGACUGAGAUACGGCCCAGACUCCUACGGGAGGCAGCAGUGGGGAAUAUUGCACAAUGGGCGGAAGCCUGAUGAAGCAACGCCGCGUGCGGGAUGACGGCCUUCGGGUUGUAAACCGCUUUCGCCUGUGACGAAGCGUGAGUGACGGUAAUGGGUAAAGAAGCACCGGCUAACUACGUG
rnacentral:rRNA from 1 species